rnacentral:sRNA from 1 species
UUUUUUUUUUGGCAAAGCAUACAUACAGUCUAAGACAUUAAUAAAAUUUGCCAGUUGGGAGAGAUUCUAAUCAAAUUAAUAAAACAAAAACGCUGGGACCUUUUAUCAAUAUG